AGCAGGCGCGCAAAUUACCCAAUCCCGACANGGGGAGGUAGUGACAAUAAAUAACAACACAGGGCUCUUUUGGGUCUUGUUAUUGGAAUGAGUACGAUUUAAAUCUCCUAACGAGGAACAAUUGGAGGGCAAGUCUGGUGCCAGCAGCCGCGGUAAUUCCAGCUCCAAUAGCGUAUAUUAAAGUUGUUGCAGUUAAAAAGCUCGUAGUUGAAUUUCAGGCCUGGCUGGACGGUCCGCCCUUCGGGUGAGUACUGUCUGUGGUCGGGUCCUACCUUCUGGCGAAGCGUCAUGGCCUUAACCGGCCGUGGCGGGGAACCAGGACUUUUACUGUGAAAAAAUUAGAGUGUUCAAAGCAGGCAAUCGCUUGGAUACAUUAGCAUGGAAUAAUGGAAUAGGACAAUGGUUCUAUUUGUUGGUUUCUAGGACCGUUGUAAUGAUUAAUAGGGAUAGUUGGGGGCAUUAGUAUUCAAUUGUCAGAGGUGAAAUUCUUGGAUUUAUUGAAGACUAACUACUGCGAAAGCAUUUGCCAAGGAUGUUUUCAUUAAUCAAGAACGAAAGUUAGGGGAUCGAAGACGAUCAGAUACCGUCGUAGUCUUAACCAUAAACUAUGCCGACUAGGAAUCGGGCGAUGUUGAAAAAAUGACGCGCUCGGCACCUCAUGGGAAACCAAAGUGUUUGGGUUCA
rnacentral:rRNA from 1 species